rnacentral:rRNA from 1 species
AUUGAACGCUGGCGGCAUGCCUUACACAUGCAAGUCGAACGGCAGCGGACCUUCGGGUGCCGGCGAGUGGCGAACGGGUGAGUAAUAUAUCGGAACGUACCUUUCAGUGGGGGAUAACGUAGCGAAAGUUACGCUAAUACCGCAUAUUCUGUGAGCAGGAAAGCAGGGGAUCGCAAGACCUUGCGCUGAUUGAGCGGCCGAUAUCAGAUUAGCUAGUUGGUGAGGUAAAGGCUCACCAAGGCGACGAUCUGUAGCGGGUCUGAGAGGAUGAUCCGCCACACUGGAACUGAGACACGGUCCAGACUCCUACGGGAGGCAGCAGUGGGGAAUUUUGGACAAUGGGCGCAAGCCUGAUCCGGCCAUGCCGCGUGAGUGAAGAAGGCCUCGGUUGUAAG